CUUGUGUCUAAAUGCUCCAGUCACCUCCUCCCCCCUCCCCCUGCUCUCCCCCCUCAACCCCCGCCCGGACCUGGUUUACGACACUGGGUGGUUUGGUUUGAGUGUGUGUGUGUGUGUGUGUGUGUAUGCGUGCGCGCGUGGUGGUUCUUUUUUUUUUUUUUUUUACUUUUUUACAUCACCUUCCUACACCUAGUGCUCGGCCGCCGGAACCUUGUUGCCAGGGGAGACGGCCGCUUUACGGCAGCGCGUUUGAACCGGCAGGAGGGAAAAGUUUCUCUCGGCUCGUCCGCGGGCAGGGCUUAUCGCAUCUCAGACAUGCAAUGAUUUCAUGAUAUUCUAUGCUUCCUGUUCUUAGUACUUCAAAGUUGGCAGAAGUGAAGGUAUUUCUAGCCAUGUCUGCUAUUGCCAUCUUGACUCUGCACAUCUCAACCUAGAAAAAGCCAGAAGUCAACCUGACUAUCCCAUGUUCCUGCAAGGUGUGGAGACUGUAUUGUGUUGUGAGGCACCCUCCAAACUGGGGCAUUGGGCUGGUCCUCUGCCAGCAUUGACUGGAACUGGCCAUGAAGAAAAGAGAACCACUGCAAUACCAUGCCUCCCAUUCCCAAAAUCCUGCAGACAGUCCAGAAGAAUACCAUAAUCAAUGGUAUUGAAAGCCACUGACAAGAAGAACCAGGACAGCUGCAUAACCCGCAUCCUGAUUCUGCAAAGGUAAUUAACAAAUGUGAUUAAUGCUCUCCAUGUACUAUGACCUAGCACGAAACAGUACUAAAAAUAUCCAGAUAAUUUGCUUCUUCUGGGGUCUGCUGGAGCUGUAGUCCAACCACCUUCUCAAUAAACCUGCCCAAAAAGGGAAGGUUGAAAGCUGGAUGGAAAUUACCCAGAACUGUUGGGUUCAGCAAUAACUUCUUGAGGAAAGGAUGCACCACCAUCUCCUUUAAGACAGGCAGAACCACCUCCUCUCUUAAGGAUGAAUGUAGCACCAGAUGGAUUUAUCCACCCUUCAUCUCCUGGAGGGACAUGGAUCUAAUAAGCAAGUGACUGGCCUAUAUGAGGAUCCUGCCCACUACCUCAGGAGUUAGAGGAUCACAUACAUCUCAGGUGUCUCUUUGUUGGUUCAUCUCCUGAAGCUCCAUGGAAAACCAGGAUGUUGCAUGGGAUUGAUGAACAGGGGAGGCUGCAUAGGAGCAAUCUAAUUCAAAGCCUUCAUCAUGUACUCAUUCCAGGCGGGGACUAAGGUAUCAGUCAAACUACCCUCCAGAUCCUCAAGAAAAACCUCAAGCUCUUUCUGAAACCAACCCAGGUCUGUUAGUUGCUGGGAGCAGAUUGAUCAAAUAGGUCUUAACUUCUGGGGGUGGGGGGAGUGCAAGGAUAGCAUCAACAAGCCAAAAAGCAACCAGAGAAUGGCUUGACCAUGACUAACGACUAAUGGUAAUGUCCUCCACCUUCAGGUCAUGUCGCAACCUCUCUGAGAUAAAAACCAGAUCUAGCGUAUGAUGACAUAUAUGUAUUGGACCCUCAGUAAUCUUGGUGUUGAGAGUAAGGAAUAUUAUCUUGAUGGAGAUGUGGAGUUGAUUUCCUGGUCUGGUCUACCUAGCGGGGCUGACACUUGCUAUGAUGAUUGUGAACUCCUGAGCUCUGCCAGGCUCUACACCACAUAAGGGCAAGUUCAACUCUCCCAGAACUAUCAGUCUUGGAGACCUCACUACCAGCUAAGUGAUGGAGUUGGUCAGCUCAGGCACAGAUCAACUGCUCCUUGGAGCCCAACUUUAACCACAUGGCCUCACAUCUGGCUAUCUGAAAGCUGGGAAGACUUCCCAGAUGACAACUGCCACCAUAUCCCAUUGCCCUGGAAUCACAGCUGAUGACAAAUACAAAACUCGGGCAUAUCUCAGAGAGGGAUGAGCCCACCCAAGUCUCAGUUAUACUUGUCAGGUUGGCUGCCUCAUCCAUAAUAAGGUCACGGAUGAAGGGAGUCUUACUACAAAGCAACCGGGCAUUUAACAGCACCAGUUGGAGACCAGGGCCACUGAGGAUCUGGUGACUUGACAGCAGGGUUGACUACUGGGAACCAGAAAGUGGAAUUGGUAUCAAAUAUGGACCCUGCCUUGCCCCACGUGUUGCCUGCUUGCAGAUUCCUACCAUAUUUCCCUAUUGCAAAAAUAAUUUUCAAGAGAACUUUAAAUAUUAUAUAUACAGUGUGAUCCAUCCAUACCUACCAAGUUAUCCCCAUUUAGUUCCGUGAAACUUAGUCAAUGGGAGUGCAUGUAGGAUUGCAGCAAGGGAAAUAGAUCCUUUGUAGUGAAGCAGCUCUCCCAUCCAGAGCUCUGCUGGCUCGAAACAGCCAGGUGGCCUGGCAGAGUCCCUUUACUCCCAGCAGUUCUUUUUACUUUUUCUUUCCCCUCUAGUUUAAUUGAAUGGGAGAGGAAAUGGUCUGGUUCAUGCCUUAUGUUCAGUCACGGUUGGUGCAAGUCACAAUGGCCAGGCUCACACAACAUGCUGUGCCUAAGCCAAACAAACCACAGUACAACUUAGGGCAGCAUGUGAACUCAGUAAUAAACAGUAUGAAUUCCAGGCUGAUGUAAAUGAGAGAGCCCAUCCAGAAGGUGAUUG